GGUUGUACUUCUGUGGUAGAGUGCGUGCCUCGCAUGCAUGGGGUGCUAGGUUCAAUUCUCAGCACCA
rnacentral:tRNA from 1 species